UGGGGAAUUUUGCGCAAUGGGGGAAACCCUGACGCAGCGACGCCGUGUGAAUGAUGAAGCCUUUCGGGGUGUAAAGUUCUGUCAGCAGAGAAGAUAGUGACGGUAUCUGCAGAGGAAGCUCCGGCUAAUUAUGUGCCAGCAGCCGCGGUAAUACAUAAGGAGCGAGCGUUAUCCGGAUUUACUGGGCGUAAAGGGCGCGUAGGCGGCGAGAUAAGUUAGGUGUUAAAGGUUUCGGCUCAACUGGAACAUGCACCUAAGACUGUUUUGCUAGAGAGUGGGAGAGGAAAGUGGAAUUCACAGUGUAGCGGUGAAAUGCGUAGAUAUUGUGAAGAACACCAGUGGCGAAGGCGGCUUUCUGGACCACAUCUGACGCUGAGGCGCGAAAGCGUGGGGAGCAAACAGG
rnacentral:rRNA from 1 species